rnacentral:rRNA from 1 species
UCAGGAUGAACGCUAGCGGGAGGCUUAAUACAUGCAAGUCGAGCGGUAUCUAUGACUUCGGUUGUAGAGAGAGCGGCGCACGGGUGAGUAACGCGUACGCACCUGCCCUCAACAGGGGGAUAGCCCCGGGAAACUGGGAUUAAUACCCCAUGGUAUCGCAUGGUUAAAGUUCCGACGGUUGAGGAUGGGCGUGCGUCUGAUUAGCUAGUUGGUAGGGUAACGGCCUACCAAGGCGAUGAUCAGUAGGGGGCGUGAGAGCGUGGACCCCCACACGGGUACUGAGACACGGACCCGACUCCUACGGGAGGCAGCAGUAAGGAAUAUUGGACAAUGGGCGAAAGCCUGAUCCAGCCAUCCCGCGUGCAGGAUGACGGCCUACGGGUUGUAAACUGCUUUUAUGAGGGAAGAACCCCCCAAUGUAUUGGGGGCUGACGGUACCUCAGGAAUAAGCACCGGCUAACUCCGUGCCAGCAGCCGCGGUAAUACGGAGGGUGCAAGCGUUAUCCGGAAUUACUGGGUUUAAAGGGUGCGUAGGCGGAACAAUAAGUCAGGAGUGAAAGCUUCCCGCUUAACGGGAGAAUUGCUUUUGAUACUGUUGUUCUUGAAUCAGAUGAGGUUGGCGGAAUGUGGCAUGUAGCGGUGAAAUGCAUAGAUAUG